CACGUGAACCGGGCUUGCCUCACAACUUCUUCUUCUUCUUCUUCUUCUUCUUCUAGUCAUUCUUUUCUUUUCUUUUCACUUUUUUCCUCUUCAUUUUAUUUAAUUCUUUGUUAUUAUUAAACUAUUUAUUUUCAUGUUUCUUAAAUUUUCCGGAACUUUUUACGUUUAAUUAAAAUUUUAAAUGCCCGUAGUCGUGCCCGCAAAAUGGUGCAUAGCACUAAAGUCACCGCCCAGAAAGUCUUUAUCAAAACCAUGGCUAUUAUAAUCAACAUCAACAAAACAACUACAACGAAACGCUCUUUACUAUUCGGUGUCUCACUGUAAAAUGACAUUUUGUAAUUUUGGGUUUAUGUGAAAAAGGCAAUCUGUGAUUGAAGGGGAGGCUUGGGUUUUGUGGGAUUCUUCAUCAUCAUUGCUGGGAUUUGUCCAUGGUAGGUAUGGUAGUAAUAGUCCUCAAGGCUAGAUUGAUUUUUUUGUGGCGGUUUUGAGACGUGGCUUGAAUUAGAUGGGAGUAUUUCUUUGAGAUUCUACAUUAUGAUUACAAUUUGUCAGCCAUAUUGCUGGAAUGCGCACAAUUUCAGUGUCAAAAUAGCAGCGUUGGGGGAUUUUCAGAGCUUUGUUGGCCGGGUUAGCAGGCUUUUGGUUUUUCCUUUUUUGUUUUUUUGGAUUUGGCUACCCAGUGUUGAGGUUGAUGAGAUAAAUUGAUGGGUGAUUGUGUUGAUUGAUUUGGAAGGUUUCAUCUUUCUCAUUUGACGUUCUUGCUUGGAUGAAUGUAUAUGUAAAUAUUAUGGUUACCUUCUUCUUCUUCUUUUUCCAGUGCUUUCUCUUACACAUAAAAAAAUCCAUGGCUAGCAGAUUCUUCAAUUGGUUUGAACCCUUUUAUAGGGAAUUGUUUGAUUUCCUUUUUUAUUUUGUUUUAGCAUAUCUUUUUUUCAUCUAUUCUAUUUCUUUUAUCUAUCUGUUUUGAAGGAUUUGUUUGUGCUGAGUUGUUUCUCUUGGGAAUGUGCCAUCUGCAGCAACUCUUGCAUUAUAGGUUUUAAAUAUUGCCAAUGUUACUUAUCAUCAGCCUUUCUUUGACAUGUGUUCAAGUUGUCAUUUUUUACGAGUUUUUCCAUUUGUAUGUUGCACGAUCACAAACUGUGUGAUGAUUGUGCAUUUAAUAUGUGAAGAUUAUCUUCAAUGGUCAAGGGUGUUGGUAGAUACUGAUUUGAUAUUUAGUUUGAUUACAACACUGUGUUUGGUUCGUGGAUGACUCUGUUUCCUGUUAUGUGUAAGAACUAUGCCAAACAACAAAUAGUUAACAAUGAGUUUCUGGUUCGAAUUUGACUAAACCAAUUAUAACUUCUCCACUCAAUGUGGAAUUGAUUUAGGAAUUCUAAUGUAAUAAUGAUUCUUGGCUCUUUUUUUUUGUGUGCACGUGUUUGCUUUACAGAUUUCUUUUAUGUUUCACAGUGUUUGAUGGAAUUCCAAGUAUUAUUCACUGGUAUAAAUCAAUGUCUUCCUGAGUGUUUUUGGCUUUUGGUCCGUCUGGAUUCUUUUACAGUAUCUCCCACUGGUUUGGAACAAGGUGAAUCUCUCUUAUCAAUUAAUUGAAAUUUCUUCCCCUUUUCCUUUUUCCUUACUGUCACAGGUGUAUGUUCUAGGGUUGCUGUAUGCUCUAGGGUUAGGAACUUUUGAUUCUUUCUUUGAAUGUCUUUGUGUGUUAAGUUUGUCUUUUGUUUAUCUUCUCUGGUGUGUUUGGGUUUGUUUUCCCGACUUUCUUUUUUCCUUAACAGCGUUUUUUUUUCCAGUGCUUUCUUUGCAAAUAAUGUGCUGCUUGAUAUGUUAAGAAAUCGAUACUCGAGAAUUGAUGAGCUUGAACAGGAGGUUAUGGACAGGCCAAAGAAAGUUGAUGAGGGGAUGAAAUUGCAGGAUAAUUUACUUGUUUAGCUCAAACGAUGAAGUCCAUGAUUGUCUAUAAAGAAAGGGAAUUGAAAUGGAAUCAGUAGACGAGUAAUGAGUUGCUUGCUACAGCUAAGAACAUAUAUAAGCAUGUUGGACAGUUGCAAAGGCAGGUGAGGACAAAAACAGUAACAGUAACAGAUAAAACAGAGUCAGCACACAGUUUUAGCAGGAAAGUUGUGCUGCCAUUGCCAUUAAUUAAAAGAUAAUAAGAAGCUGAAGACUGACAAAGAAAAGUAGAGGGAAGAACUUAUGUACAAAGUGGAAUGUCUUGAGAAUCUUGGUCAGAUUAGUUACAUUUUUAAGGAAUUAAUGGUAUAAGUUGAAGUGGGAAGGGAAUUGCAAGUUGAAUUACUUCAAAAAACUGAAUUGAAUGCCGUGAAAAUCUGGAAGCAAGAAAAAAAAACUGUUCUGGGAUGUUUUAUCACUACUGUUUUUUGGGAAAAUGUUUAUGUUUUUAAUUUGUUUAUCUCCAAACUCAGGUUUUACAUUGGUUUUUCUGCUUUCGCCACCUUCCCUGCUUAUUGUUAGCUAAUUUGGUUACUGAGAUCACUUUGUUUUUUCCCAAUCGUCCUUAUCACUCCGAGUAAAGGAGCCAGCUCUGGCGCAUCUUCAAUUGGAAAACCUUUAUACAUCCAGCUACCGUGGAUUUGAAAGGCAAAACAUAUGAGCUGCUGAGAAUAAACGCUGGAAGAUUUUAGAUGGAAGAUCUAUACCGAAAUUUAGGUCCCCUUCAAUGGGAUGGUCCUGGUGCUGAUUCCAAGGCUCUAACUCUUUGUGUUGAAGACCAGGAUUACAUGGGUCCGAUCAAGAAACGGCAAGAAUACCUUGACAAGGAAAAAAAAAAAAAGAGCAUACAUUUCUCCACUCCUUUCUCCAAUUGGAGUGCCUAUGAUAUGUGCAAGGGCCUAGGCGUAUUAGAACCAGUACUACUGCCUAAUUCUAUCUUUUGCCAAAAAGAAUAAAAGUUAGGGGACCAAAGUCACAACCAUUUGUAACUUUCAAAUAACUAGUACUUCCAUAAAGCAAGUUGUAAUGUACAUUUGGAGGGAAGACAAUGCCAAGACAAUCUUCAAAGGUGGUAUAUUUGAUUUUUCACUUGACAAUUUAUUUAUCAAACGAUUGUAUUUGUAUUUAUUGAUGUGGUGCACAACUAUAAUAAUUGAAUUUAAUUUAA